rnacentral:rRNA from 1 species
UUUCGGGCUCUAUUUGCGCAGGAUAGGUGGGAGGCUAUGAUAUUAUUCUUGUGGGAAUAGUGGAGCCACUGGUGAGAUACCACUCUAAUAGAGCUAGGAACCUAACUUUGAGCCGUUAUCCGGCCAGAGGACAUUUUCAGGUGGGCAGUUUGACUGGGGCGGUCGCCUCCUAAAGAGUAACGGAGGCGUGCAAAGGUUUCCUCAGGCUGGUCGGAAAUCAGUCGUAGAGUAUAAAGGCAUAAGGAAGCUUGAUUGUGAGACCUACAAGUCGAGCAAAGACGAAAGUCGGCCUUAGUGAUCCGACGGUGCCGAGUGGAAGGGCCGUCGCUCAACGGAUAAAAGUUACUCUAGGGAUAACA